CUUGAUCCAUUUGAAAAUUGCUAGGAUUGAUAUAUCCAUAUAUCAUAUUUCUACAGGCAUAAGAGUUUUUUCCUUUAUGUUCGGUGGAAAUCACAUGUUAUACUAUAUUCCAAUAAAUAGAUAUCUGUGUUAUGGUACAAGUCGACGUUUUCAAAAAAAAAAAUGGAUGAGAUUAGGUCCCAACGGAUCUAAACAAUCUUAUUUUUUUGAACAUGAAUAAAUAAAGAAGCCAUU
rnacentral:lncRNA from 1 species